ensembl:misc_RNA
UGGACAGUUCUGGAGACUGAAUUCCUCUAUUUACCCAGAUUAAAGAUAGGAGCACAGACAGCAGUAGAACAAGCUUCUCAGCAUUGCACUGCAAUGUGCUUCAACCCCGACCUGGAGGAACAGGUUUUAGGGAUAAGAGGGUAGCUCAGUCUCCAUCAUCCCGUAAAAGCCUUAGCUUCU